UGUUUUUGGUGAUGCACAAUGCUAAAGGUGAGAUAUAUGUAUAUAGAGAUUGGUUUACUCUAGUUUGUCCCCAAAAAAAAAAAAAGAGAUUGGUUUACUUGGUUAAUAUGAGAAGAUUUAGUGAUGAAAAAAGCUUGUUAUAUUUUUUUUAAUCCAUCAUCUAAUUAUCUUUUUUUGUGGUUGAUGAUAUAAAAUAGUGGAGGCAGAAGAACACGCACCUUUACUUGUUGAAUUCAUUCCGGACACACCAUGUAAUCCUAAUCCUGCUAAGGCUGCUCAACAAUGCCUAAGGGAAACUCAUGAUAAAUACUAUACUCAUUGCAAAUGUAAAAAUCAAGCAGGUGGACAUGAUUGUUCAUGUUUACACUGAUAAUUUUACUUUAUAUGAUUUACCAAAUGUCCAAAACUAAAAUUUUAAUUAAUAAAAUUUAUCUUUUAAUCUGUGUUUGUGGGUAUGUUUUUUUCUUUUUUAUUUACGCAUAUAUAUAAUAAAGCCAUCGAGAAUGAGGCAUACUUGGAUAUGUGGUUUGCAGACUUGUAGUAUAGUCUUUGUUCCAAGAAUUACCAAUACGUGGAUGCUUUGAUUUGUUCUCCAAAUUAGCCGCUUCACAUUUAUUGUUUAAAUUAAAGCUUUAGGACUGUGAUGAGAUUCAUAUUUUUAAUUUUGAUCAUUUCCAGACUCACAUAUGAUCAGAAAAUAUCACAGAAAUUAUGCAUAUUUUGAAUUUUGAUACAUACAUAUGAACAUACUGUAUAUUAUUUAAACUUUUGAGUUUGUUAUUGAGGAUAUUUUCCUAUUAGUGAAGAUAAUUAACAUUAUCGUUUUAAUAAGAGAGAUUUAGUACUUAGCAUAUUUAUAUAUACAUUCGUAGAGGUCAAACCCUAAGACUUUGAAUGGUAGCAGUUUUUAGAUUAGUUUUUGAUUUUUGAUUCUAAAAGACCAAAAAAAUUGACAUUCACAAUUCUACCAAUUCAUUGAUAGAAUCUAAAAACUAUUUUUUCAGCUUUCUAACAAUAUUACGCGACUUUUCUUAUUGAUUAUUAAUUUUUAUUUUUUUCAAAUAAAACCAAAAACUAAACAAAUUACUAUUCAAGAUUUUUCAAAAACUAAAAGCUACAAUAAAAAUCAAAAACUAAAAACCAAAAACCAAAAGCCAAAAACCAAAAACCAAAAGCUAAAACCCAUUUAUGAACUACAAAACAUUCAUGGCCUAAGGGUGGAUUAAAAAAGAACGUGCAUUCAACAACUACACAACUUGAUAGAUUAUGUCGAGAUUAAUGGCUAAAAGAGCCAUUAUAUUAACUUGAGGGGACGUGUGGAAAAAAAUCUCAUAUGGAAAGAUGUAAUAGAACUUAAGUAAUAUAUAAAAGCUUAGGGUCAAUCCACUCAUUCCGGUUCUCCAUCUUCCAAUACAACUCUUUUCGCAAAUUGCAAGCAAAAUGGCUCUAUGGUGAAUGAAUAUACUUUGGUAGCCUGACAAAGCUGUGGGAUGGAAUUGUAGCUGGAAAUGAAGCAGCUUCGUGUCUUAAAGUUGUAGGCUGUCCCGAAUGGUGGGGAGAUUGACCACGCACCCGCAGCUCCCAGGCAUUCUCUCAAGGACAUGGUCGUGGCCAGCCACCACGCGCUAAUAUAUGUCACCCAAAUCGUCACUGCCAACUCUGUUGCCGUUGGUUCUUCUUCCAAAAUAACAGAUUGUAAAUUUUAAAACGAUGGUCUCACAGCUUAUUUUAGCUAAUGUAGAAAAAGUACCAAAAAAAAAAAAUCAAUGAAUAUUAACUAAGUGAGUUUUGUUUCCAAAAAAAAGUCCUAUAACACUACAUAAAAAUAAAAUAAUGUCCAGCCUAGUGUUUUUUUUUUUCAAUGUUACUUUUUUUUUUGGCUAAAGAAAAAUGCCUUAUUUUUUAUACAUGACAUACUGCUUUAAAUUUAGCAAUACCGUAAGAGUCUUUUUUUUUUUUUUUUUUUUUUUUUUUUUUUUUUGUAAAAGCGGAUUACUUGGCACGCAAAUCUCGUUCCAGUCCGCAUUUGAUUAAGUUUGUAAACAAUUGUCCGUCAAGUUGGCUCAUUUGAGUUAGCUUUUUAUUUGAUGACAAAAAAAAAGUAAGAGUUCUUUUUUUUUUUAAUACUCCCUUCGUUCUUUUUAGAUCAUUUUUUGGACUAAUGCACAUUAUUUAAGAAAUUAUUUAAGUUUUGUUUAUAUUUAAACAAUUUUUUUAAAAUAUAUAUAUAUCUAAAUACAAUUUAACUAAUGAGAAAAAAAUAUGCAUAAUAUAAAUGGUUAAACUAAGUUAAGCUGCUUUCAUUGGUGUUUGAAGAGUCUUAAAGACUUACAUAUUACUUCUUGUGAAAUGUGGUCGGAUUGUAAAGCAGAUGUAUCUGCGGUUGAGUCUUAUUUGUUGUGGCCUAAGUAUCGGGUUCAACUAGAUAGGAUUUCCGAGCUUUUACAUUCCAUUGGAGAGGUGAAGUUUAAGUUGUCACAUUUGAAGGCUAACUCUUUGGUUACAGACAUUGCGAAGAGUGUGACGAGAGAUGGAUGCCUCAACAAAAGGUUUAUAUUGAAAUACUCUUCGGCGUGGGACUUAAAAAUCACCAGAAGGUUUAUAUUAUAGUUUAACAACAUUUUGCAAAUAUUCAAUCAACAAAAGUACUACAGGUUUAUACGAAGAUUUAGCAACAUUUUGAUCUCCUAAAUUUUAUAUUUUUACCCCAUUAAAAAAAAAUAUUUUGAACACCUCUAAAAUCUAGUUAUGGCUCCGCUACUGUCGUAAGUUUAUGACAUUUUUCUCAUUUUUUCUGGUUUUAAGAUUACCAGAAUUUAGAAUUAGACCCACACUGAAAAAACAUUCCGUGUUCAGAUCGCAAAUUAAUCAGUCAAAGCGAUCAUACCUUUUCAAAAAUUAAAAAAUCUAAAUUUCUAAACACUUGAAAUAUGAAAAAGUAAACACUAUCUCAAAUAAAAUAAAAUUUUUUAAAAUAAAUACAAAUAUAAUUUAUUUAGUAAUUUUCUAAAAAAUGUCAUAUGUGUGAUAGCACGGAUAUCUCCUAGUAAUAAUUGAAUGCAUUAAGAAUCUUAGAUUUUUUUUUAGUUGAAUAACAGAAAACCCUUAUUGACUUUAUCAAUCUUAGAUUUGUAAAUGACUUUUACAAAUCACAAACUAAUAACAUCAAACUUUGAUUUAAUUAACAAAAUCUUGAUUGAAUAACAACAUAUUCUACAUAACAUAAAGUCAUAUCAUAAACCAAUAACAACCCCUAAAUUUAGUUGGUUGAAGUUUUUUACAUUGUCAAAAUCUAAGUGGUUAGACUUGACACUUGUUGUGAUUACGUGAGUUAGUAUGUUUGAAGUCCAACCUUUUUAGAUAAUUUUCGUACCUUAAUGUGCAUAUCUUAUUCUAGUUAUUAUCUUAAUAAAAUAUUUUGGUUUUGAUUCUCAAAUGGGAAAUUAAGAAUUUUGGUCAAAUACAAAUGUAUUGGCUUUUUGUUUUAGUAAACUUUGAAUAUGUUAAAUUUGAAUAAGUUUAUCUCAAUAUUUUGUUUUGUUUGACUCUUGAAUGGGCAAUUAAUUAUUUUAUUUGAAUAAGAACAAAAUAUAUCUUAGAGUGUGGUGUAUGUGUAUAUAUAUAAGAAAUGUUGAUUAGAAAUUAUUCAGUAGGAGAUAAAAAAACAAAAAAAUCAGAAAAAUAUAGUAAAUCAGUUGUUAAUUUCUACAUCAUGAAAUCUGCUACUUUGCUUGUGGUUUCUUGUGUACUCAUGUUUUUGGUGAUGCAUAAUGCUAAAGGUGAGAUAUAUAUUGGUUACUUGGUUAAUAUGAAAAAAGUUUUUUGAUCCAUCAUCUAAUUAAUAUUUUUUUGUGGUUGAUGAUAUAAAAUAGUGGAGGCAGAAGAACACGCACCUUUACUUGUUGAAUUCAUUCCGGACACACCAUGUAAUCCUAAUCCUGCUAAGGCUGCUCAACAAUGCCUAAGGGAAACUCAUGAUAAAUACUAUACUCAUUGCAAAUGUAAAAAUCAAGCAGGUGGACAUGAUUGUUCAUGUUUACAUUGAUAAUUUCCCUUUAUAUGAUUUACC
rnacentral:lncRNA from 1 species